rnacentral:rRNA from 1 species
UACGUAGGGUGCGAGCGUUAAUCGGAAUUACUGGGCGUAAGGCGUGCGCAGGCGGCGCGUUAAGACAGGUGUGAAAGCCCCGAGCUUAACUUGGGAAUUGCGCUUGUGACUGGCGUGCUGGAGUGUGGCAGAGGGAGGUGGAAUUCCACGUGUAGCAGUGAAAUGCGUAGAGAUGUGGAGGAACACCGAUGGCGAAGGCAGCCUCCUGGGCCAGCACUGACGCUCAUGCACGAAAGCGUGGGGAGCAAACAGG